UUUAGAGUGGGGAGGGUCGGAUCUACCGCUCCGCCGGCGAGCCCCUUCCAGCCAUGGCGGGCUUCUCCGCGAAGAAACGCCUGUCCAAGCCCUUGUUGUUUGGGGGCAUCUUCUGUGCCUUGGCGACCGCCUUCGUGUACAGACGUCGUUUUUUCCCUGAGGUAGAUGAGAUCCGUGCCCGGGAGCACCAGUACUAUGAAGAGAAACGCCAGGAGGUGCUGCAGAGGCGCCAGCAGCAACUGGCUGAGCUGGCACAGAAGAAAACAGCCUCGUAGUUGGCCUUUUACUGCUGAGGAAAGACAGAGACCUGACUAAAUGGACUAGAAGACUAUUCUCCCAUGCCAUUGAUUCUUACAGGCGUGUUUGGGCUUGGACUACUCAGUGGGGUUUGAGCAAGUCAUAUCUUAAUUAACUUGAGAGUUCUUGGGAGAAAGCAUGUAAUGUCCAUAAGAAUAAGGAUUUGAGUCUGAGGGAAUCUAA